rnacentral:rRNA from 1 species
GAUGAACGCUGGCGGCGUGCCUAAUACAUGCAAGUCGAGCGAAGCGGGGACGGGUGAGUAUCACGUGGAUGACCCCCUAUAAGACUGGGAUAACCUCCGGAAACCGGAGCUAAUCCGGAAUCUUAUAGCUGGAUCCGGACUGCAUUAGCUAGUUGGUAAGGUAACGGCUUACCAAGGCAACGAUGCAUAGCCGAUCUGAGAGGGUGAUCAGCCACACUGGAACUGAGACACGGUCCAGACUCCUACGGGAGGCAGCAGUAGGGAAUCUUGCGCAAUGGGCGAAAGCCUGACGGAGCAACGCCGCGUGAGUGAUGAAGGUCUUCGGAUCGUAAAACUCUGUUAGUAGGGAGGCGGUACCUAAUCAGAAAGCCACGGCUAACUCCGUGCCAGCAGCCGCGGUAAUAC